UACGAAGGGGGCUAGCGUUGCUCGGAAUCACUGGGCGUAAAGGGUGCGUAGGCGGAUCUUUAAGUCAGGGGUGAAAUCCUGGAGCUCAACUCCAGAACUGCCUUUGAUACUGAGGAUCUCGAGUUCGGGAGAGGUGAGUGGAACUGCGAGUGUAGAGGUGAAAUUCGUAGAUAUUCGCAAGAACACCAGUGGCGAAGGCGGCUCACUGGCCCGAUACUGACGCUGAGGCACGAAAGCGUGGGAGCAAACAGGG
rnacentral:rRNA from 1 species